rnacentral:rRNA from 1 species
CCUACGGGAGGCAGCAGUAGGGAAUUUUCGUCAAUGGGCGCAAGCCUGAACGAGCAAUGCCGCGUGAACGAGGAAGGUCUUCGGAUCGUAAAGUUCUGUUGAAGGGGAAAAAGAGCGGAGAGAGGAAAUGAACUCCGAUUGAUAUUACCCUUAGAGGAAGUAACGGCUAACUACGUGCCAGCAGCCGCGGUAAUACGUAGGUGGCGAGCGUUAACCGGAAUGAUUGGGCGUAAAGGGUGCGUAGGCGGCCUGCUAAGUCUGGUGUGAAAGGUACCUGCUAAACCGGUAUAGGCUCUGGAAACUGGCGGGCUAGAGAGCAGGAGAGGGCGGUGGAACUCCAUGUGUAGCGGUAAAAUGCGUAGAUAUAUGGAAGAACACCAGUGGCGAAGGCGGCCGCCUGGCCUGUUACUGACGCUGAGGCACGAAAGCGUGGGGAGCAAAUAGGAUUAGAUACCCGAGUAGUC